rnacentral:rRNA from 1 species
GAUGAACGCUGGCGGCGUGCCUAAUACAUGCAAGUCGAGCGAACAGACGAGGAGCUUGCUCCUCUGACGUUAGCGGCGGACGGGUGAGUAACACGUGGAUAACCUACCUAUAAGACUGGGAUAACUUCGGGAAACCGGAGCUAAUACCGGAUAAUAUAUUGAACCGCAUGGUUCAAUAGUGAAAGACGGUUUUGCUGUCACUUAUAGAUGGAUCCGCGCCGCAUUAGCUAGUUGGUACGGUAACGGCUUACCAAGGCGACGAUGCGUAGCCGACCUGAGAGGGGGAUCGCCCACACUGGAACUGAGACACGGUCCAGACUCCUACGGGAGGCAGCAGUAGGGAAUCUUCCGCAAUGGGCGAAAGCCUGACGGAGCAACGCCGCGUGAGUGAUGAAGGUCUUCGGAUCGUAAAACUCUGUUAUUAGGGAAGAACAAAUGUGUAAGUAACUAUGCACGUCUUGACGGUACCUAAUCAGAAAGCCACGGCUAACUACGUG